rnacentral:rRNA from 1 species
UACGUAGGGGGGCAAGCGUUGUCCGGAAUCAUUGGGCGUAAAGAGCGUGUAGGCGGCCCCGAUAAGUCCGCUGUGAAAGUCCAGGGCUCAACCCUGGGAUGCCGGUGGAUACUGUCGGGCUCGAGUCCGGAAGAGGAGUGUGGAAUUCCCGGUGUAGCGGUGAAAUGCGCAGAUAUCAGGAGGAACACCAAUUGCGAAGGCAGCUCGCUGGAACGUAACUGACGCUGAGACGCGAAAAGCGUGGGGAGCAAACAGG